rnacentral:rRNA from 1 species
GAUGAACGCUAGCGGCAGGCCUAAUACAUGCAAGUCGAACGGUGUCUUCGGACAUAGUGGCGCACGGGUGCGUAACACGUAUGCAACCUACCUUACAUUGGGGGAUAGCCUUUCGAAAGGGAGAUUAAUACCGCAUAAGACAGUAGCUGGGCAUCCAGCAGCUGUUAAAGAUUUAUCGAUGUAAGCUGGGCAUGCGUCCAAUUAGCUAGUUGGUGAGGUAACUGCUCACCAAGGCAAUGAUUGGUAGGGGAACUGAGAGGUCAAUCCCCCGCACUGGCACUGAGAUACGGGCCAGACUCCUACGGGAGGCAGCAGUAGGGAAUAUUGGGCAAUGGACGCAAGUCUGACCCAGCCAUGCCGCGUGCAGGAUGAAGGCGUUAUGCGUUGUAAACUGCUUUUAUACAGGAAGAAACGACUCUUGCGAGAGGCAUUGACGGUACUGUAUGAAUAAGCACCGGCUAACUCCGUGCCAGCCGCCGCUGUAAUAC